rnacentral:rRNA from 1 species
GACGAACGCUGGCGGCGUGCUUAACACAUGCAAGUCGAACGGAAAGGCCCUGCUUUUGUGGGGUGCUCGAGUGGCGAACGGGUGAGUAACACGUGAGUAACCUGCCCUUGACUUUGGGAUAACUUCAGGUAACUUGUGCUAAUACCGGAUAGGAGCUCCUGCUGCAUGUUGUGGGUUGGAAAGUUUCGGCGGUUGGGGAUGGACUCGCGGGUUAUCAGCUUGUUUGUGUGGUAGUGGCUUACCAAGGCUUUGACGGGUAGCCGGCCUGAGAGGGUGACCGGAAACAUGGGGAAUGAGAGACGGAGCAGAGUGCAACGGGAGGAAGCAGUGGGGAAUAUUGCAAAAUGGGCGGAAGCCUGAUGCAGAAACGCGGGGUGCGGGAUGACGGCCUUCGGGUUGUAAACCGCUUUAGCCUGUGACGAAGCGUGAGUGACGGUAAUGGGUAAAGAAGCACCGGCUAACUACGUG